UUCAAAAGAGCACGUGUCACAAACACUGGGCUGUGCCCUGCAGCUCUGCUGGUUUGGAACUGACAACUUUGUGAAGCAGCUGCGGUUUCUUUGACCCCGGUGAUGGCCUGCUCUUUCUGGAGACUGAGCGGCAGUGAUUCAUCUUCACAUGUUGCCCUUUGCUUCUACUGUAGGACAGGAUCUGCACAGUCUAGCAAGCUGUGAAGGUGUUUGACUCUCACAGCAUGGAGUCCUCCACUCUUCUGUUCCUGUCGGUCCCCCUGGGCCCAAACAUCCACGUGAAACAGCAGCCCCUUCAUUCAGACAGUGGAAGUGAUCCAAGGAAAUCAGCAGCGGCAGGGAGAGCUUUAAUUACAUUAAUUCAACCCUCACAUUUGUGCAGAGGAUGUGAAACGGCGCAGCAGAUGGUGCAGGCGCAGCAGUUUACAUCUUAGAAGCAGAGGAGGAAGAAACCACACCCAGACUGAAGCCCAUAUGGGUGAGGAACGCUGUUCGAUUAGAGCUCGUCACUUUAAUCAAUCACAUCAGCCGACGACAAAUGUCACCUCCGUUAAAAAGAAACCCCCUUCCCAGGUGUUUGCAAGACCAGAAAUCCAGGUGCUAGCCCGGAGAUACCUUAUAUCCAAGCUGGAUGAGCAUGGCUUUUAUCCCAGAUGUCCUCCUCUCCUUCCUGUGGCUGUCCAGCUUGUCAGGUUGGACUGUUGAAAGAUGCCAUGGGCAGUGGUCGCCUCAGAGUCCGCUGCACUUAAUCCUAA